rnacentral:tRNA from 1 species
GCCUCCGUGGCUCAAUGGAUAGAGCGCCUGUCUUCGGAACAGGAUGUUGGGAGUUCAAGUCUCUCCGGAGGCGCCA